CACCUCCACCUACAUCCACAUCUCCACCUACAUCCACCUCUCGUGCUGUUCUCUCUGUGAUGUCGUUUCUUAAAUCAGUCUGUAUUGUGGUCCUGCUGGUGUUACUGGUUCAACGGGUGAGACGUGUUUAUAGGAAACCUGAAGCUGAUGGGGGAGAAGUUGGACAGAUGACAUCACAGAUGACAUCAUAGAUGACAUCAAAAUCUCGAAUCAUCAGCAGCCAAUCAGAGGAAGCAGAGACUUUAAACCAGAGCCAGACGUCAUCGACUCCUCACUGAAGCUCCACCAGUCCAACCACUGGAAUCCAGCUGCUGCUCUCUGACUGCUGCACACACACCUGAGGACACUGACUUGUAAUGUUGACUGUGUAUAUUUGUGUGUGUUAUUCUCAGUAUAUUAAUCUUGUACAACCACAGAGGGACAAAAAGUCAAAUGGGAACAGGAUGAUUUUUAGAACUCAAUAAACUGUCUCACUCGUUCUUCUUGUGUGGUUUUGUGGGUUUCAGUAAGAUCUCUGACACCAAAUGUGAA